UACGAAGGGGGCGAGCGUUGUUCGGAUUUACUGGGUGUAAAGGGCGCGCAGGCGGCUCAUUUUGUCAGGCGUGAAAGCCCCGGGCUUAACCUGGGAACUGCGUUUGAUACGGAUGGGCUAGAGUUCGGGAGAGGAGAGUGGAAUUCCCAGUGUAGAGGUGAAAUUCGUAGAUAUCGGGAGGAACACCAGUGGCGAAGGCGGCUCUCUGGGCAGAUACUGACACUGAGGAGCGAAAGCGUGGGGAGCGAACAGG
rnacentral:rRNA from 1 species